GUGAGGAAUAUUGGUCAAUGGACGAAAGUCUGAUGGUGCAACGCCGCGUGGAGGAUGACGGUCUUCGGAUUGUAAACUCCUGUCAUCCGGGAGUAAGACCUGGCUGUGAAUAGCAGACAGGGUUGAUAGUACCGGAAGAGGAAGGGACGGCUAACUUCGUGCCAGCAGCCGCGGUAAUACGAAGGUCCCGAGCGUUGUUCGGAAUCACUGGGCGUAAAGGGAGCGUAGGCGGCGUGGUAAGUCAGAUGUGAAAUCCCGGGGCUCAACCCCGGAACUGCAUCCGAUACGGCCGGGCUAGAGGAUUGGAGAGGUAGCUGGAAUUCUUGGUGUAGCAGUGAAAUGCGUGGAGAUCAAGAGGAACACUCGUGGCGAAAGCGAGCUACUGGACAAUAUCUGACGCUGAGGCUCGAAGGCCAGGGUAGCGAAAGGGAUUAGAAACCCCGGUAGUCC
rnacentral:rRNA from 1 species